rnacentral:rRNA from 1 species
UACGUAGGGUGCAAGCGUUAAUCGGAAUUACUGGGCGUAAAGCGUGCGCAGGCGGUUGUGUAAGACAGGUGUGAAAUCCCCGGGCUUAACCUGGGAACUGCGCUUGUGACUGCACGGCUAGAGUACGGCAGAGGGGGGUGGAAUUCCACGUGGUAGCAGUGAAAUGCGUAGAUAUGUGGAGGAACACCGAUGGCGAAGGCAGCCCCCUGGGCCGAUACUGACGCUCAUGCACGAAAGCGUGGGGAGCAAACAGG